AUGCACUUGGAUGCUCUUAACAGUUUGAAAGCCCUCCUUUCUUUAGUUCUUUUUUUUUUUUGUCUUUUUGCUAUUUCUUGGGCCGCUCCCGCGGCAUAUGGAGGUUCCCAGGCUAGGGGUCGAAUCGGAGCUGUAACCACCGGCCUACACCAGAGCCACAGCAACGCGGGAUCCGAGCCGCGUCUGCAACCUACACCACAGCUCACGGCAACGCCGGAUCGUUAACCCAUUGAGCAAGGGCAGGGACCGAACCCGAAACCUCAUGGUUCCUAGUCGGAUUCGUUAACCACUGCAUCACGACGGGAACUCCCUUUCUUUAGCUCUGAGUGGACACUGUUACUUUACUAUUUCUCCAAAACCAUUNUCUUUAGUUCUGAGUGGACAUUGUUACUUUACUAUUUCUCCAAAACCAUUUGCAAUUUAUGAGAACCUCAGCAGAACUGAGAAAAGUCCUCUCACCCUUAGCUGUGACAGGUCUAAUUUUGUUUCUCAAGGUCUCCAAGCAGGACUCUGCCAAGAUGGGGCUUGAACUUGUGGGGUGUUUCUUCCAGCCGGGCUGGCUUCUCACACCUGAUUUGCUCCUGUGGAAUUAGAUCAGAAUAUUUUGGGGAAGAGCGCCCUCGCCUGCCCUGAAGUAGGAAAUGCACUGAGUCAGAUUGCCAGGGCGGAUCCAUUUCUGGCCUCCGGCUGCCAAACUGAUGAAUUUGAUGACAGGAAGUUUGCAUUUUCGUUUGGCUAGAUCUUUUUCUAUUUACGGUCCUUGAUUUGGAAAUCCAAGUUUUAUGUAUAAACAAAUGUAUAAUUAAAACAUCAACUAUAGAUUGCAUGUAUAAACAAAAUGAAUAAUUUGCACAUUGGCUACAGAUUUUCUUCAGAAAAACACCCAUUAUUUCACAUGAGGUUUUGGAAUUAAUAGAAAUCUGUUCGGUAGUGAUUUAUAUGCACUUCCAAUCUUAGACUGUUACAAAGGAAAUUGUGACACUUAACUAACAUGUAAAUGACAUGUUUAUGGACGAGUUUAAAUGAGUUUUGACAGAUGUAUGGGUGCCAAAUAUUAAAAUUUAAAGCUUUAGUCUUGUAAUGAAAAUGACACAAACCACCGAAAGAUCUGCCUUACCUCUAGACAUAUUGAAGAUCAAGAGAGUUUAAUUAAUACUCAUCAGAUAAUUUUUCAUUUAUUGAUAAGAGGGGAAAUAUGAAAUAUAAAUACUCGAAAUGCUGGAAGAAAACACUGCUACUCAAAAACCUCACCUGCCACUUCCAUCACAACUCAUUUCACAAGAUUCAUUCUGGUUAAUAAAGGUUUUAGACUUGUCUGCA
rnacentral:lncRNA from 1 species